ACGCCAGUCUGCAUGGAGCCGACCUUGAAAUACCACCCUUUAAUGUUUGAUGUUCUAACGUGGACCCGUGAUCCGGGUUGCGGACAGUGUCUGGUGGGUAGUUUGACUGGGGCGGUCUCCUCCUAAAGAGUAACGGAGGAGCACGAAGGUUGGCUAAUCCUGGUCGGACAUCAGGAGGUUAGUGCAAUGGCAUAAGCCAGCUUGACUGCGAGCGUGACGGCGCGAGCAGGUGCGAAAGCAGGUCAUAGUGAUCCGGUGGUUCUGAAUGGAAGGGCCAUCGCUCAACGGAUAAAAGGUACUCCGGGGAUAACAGGCUGAUACCGCCCAAGAGUUCAUAUCGACGGCGGUGUUUGGCACCUCGAUGUCGGCUCAUCACAUCCUGGGGCUGAAGUAGGUCCCAAGGGUAUGGCUGUUCGCCAUUUAAAGUGGUACGCGAGCUGGGUUUAGAACGUCGUGAGACAGUUCGGUCCCUAUCUGCCGUGGGCGCUGGAGAACUGAGGGGGGCUGCUCCUAGUACGAGAGGACCGGAGUGGACGCAUCACUGGUGUUCGGGUUGUCAUGCCAAUGGCACUGCCCGGUAGCUAAAUGCGGAAGAGAUAAGUGCUGAAAGCAUCUAAGCACGAAACUUGCCCCGAGAUGAGUUCUCCCUGAGACUUUAGGUCUCCUGAAGGAACGUUGAAGACGACGACGUUGAUAGGCCGGGUGUGUAAGCGCAGCGAUGCGUUGAGCUAACCGGUACUAAUGAACCGUGAGGCUUAACCUUACAACGCCGAAG
rnacentral:rRNA from 1 species